GGGCCCGCACAAGCGGUGGAGCAUGUGGUUUAAUUCGAUGCAACGCGAAGAACCUUACCAGGGUUUGACAUCCUGCGAAUCUCUUGGAAACGAGAGAGUGCCUUCGGGAACGCAGUGACAGGUGGUGCAUGGCUGUCGUCAGCUCGUGUCGUGAGAUGUUGGGUUAAGUCCCGCAACGAGCGCAACCCACGUCUUUAGUUGCCAUCAUUAAGUUGGGCACUCUGAAAGAACUGCCAGUGAUAAGCUGGAGGAAGGUGGGGAUGACGUCAAGUCCUCAUGGCCCUUACGUGUUGGGCUACACACGUGCUACAAUGGUAUCUACAACAGGAAGCAAGACUGCGAGGUCAAGCAAAUCCUUAAAAGAUACCUCAGUUCGGAUUGCACUCUGCAACUCGAGUGCAUGAAGCUGGAAUUACUAGUAAUCG
rnacentral:rRNA from 1 species